rnacentral:rRNA from 1 species
UACGUAGGGGCCGAGCGUUGUCCGGAAUCAUUGGGCGUAAAGCGCGCGUAGGCGGCCCGGUAAGUCCGUUGUGAAAGUCAAAGGCUCAACCUUUGAAUGCCGAUGGAUACUGCCGGGCUCGAGUCCGGAAGAGGCGAGUGGAAUUCCUGGUGUAGCGGUGGAAUGCGCAGAUAUCAGGAGGAACACCAAUAGCGAAGGCAGCUCGCUGGGACGGUACUGACGCUAAGGCGCGAAAGCGUGGGGAGCGAACAGG